rnacentral:rRNA from 1 species
UACGUAGGGUGCGAGCGUUAAUCGGAAUUACUGGGCGUAAAGCGUGCGCAGGCGGUUCGCUGUGUCCGAUGUGAAAGCCCCGGGCUUAACCUGUGAAUGGCAUUGGAAACUGGCGGGCUAGAGUGUGGCAGAGGGGGGUGGAAUUCCGCGUGUAGCAGUGAAAUGCGUAGAUAUGCGGAGGAACACCGAUGGCGAAGGCAAUCCCCUGGACCUGUACUGACGCUCAUGCACGAAAGCGUGGGGAGCAAACAGG